AUGUGAUGUUUAAUUUUAAUUGGGCAUGUUAAUUGGGUGAGCCAAAGGGGGCUUUUGAUUGUUGGACCUUGACGGUCAGCCUCAGGAGGAGGAAGUGGCCAAAUAAGGGACUAGACCUUGGUGUCUAGCUUUAGGAAUGUAAUCUAAAGGUUUUUAGCAAAGCAGAGAGAAUGGGGGAGAAGGGCAAGGCCUGCCAGAGCCACAUGUUAGAAUAGGCCAGUGUCCCCUUCAAAGGGGAAGGGACACUGGAAAAACAAGGCAGGGUCGUCUUGGAACCUGCCUGAGCUCUGAAUGUGCUCUCCAAUCCACAGUAGAGCCCUGUAAAGGUGGAAGCCUUGCUGGACAUAGCAGGGCCUGCCUGGGAGCCUAGCACUCAUGAGACUGGAGGAAAAGACAGCAAGUGUGAGACCAGCCUGGAGUAUGUAAUGGGAUCCUGUCCCAGAAAAGUAGGAAGGAAGCCUCAACCCUACACAUUUUAAACCACAUGUCCCCACUGCUCUCUUUUUCAUUAAAUUCUAGAUCAAAAUUUACAGAAAUAGUAGAUGAACCUUGAAGACAUUAUACAAAAUGACAGAAGCCAGUCAUUAAAAGAAAAAUAUUGUUUGAUUCCACAUGGCACGAUAUGCCUACAGUCAUCAGAUCCAGAGGGAGAGCGUGAGAUGAUGGUUCAGAAGAGCAAGAUGAACUUCAGGAGUGUAGUUACAAAGCAAUGAAGUAAACUCAACAUCACUGAACUAUCAGUCUACAAUGGUUAAAAGGGGAAACCCUGUGUUAUAUCUAUUUUACCACAAUUUUAAAUUAAGUAAAUAAAAAUUAUAAAAAUA